UGGUGUGGCUCAGUGGUAGAGCAGUUGAUUCGUAAUCAACAGGUCGUGAGUUCAAUCCUCACCACC
rnacentral:tRNA from 1 species